rnacentral:rRNA from 1 species
UUAAACGGUAGGGUAUUGGCCUACCGUGGCAAUGACGGGUAACGGGGAAUUAGGGUUCGAUUCCGGAGAGGGAGCCUGAGAAACGGCUACCACAUCUAAGGAAGGCAGCAGGCGCGCAAAUUACCCAAUCCUAAUACAGGGAGGUAGUGACAAGAAAUAACAAUACAGGACUUUUUGGUUUUGUAAUUGGAAUGAGUC